GGAGUCUUGUCGGUUUAAUUGGAUCACGCGAAUCUUACCGGGACCGACAGCAAUAUGAAGGCCAGGCUGAAGACUUUGCCGGAUUAGCUGAGAGGUGGUGCAUGGCCGUCGUCAGUUCGUACUGUGAAGCAUCCUGUUAAGUCAGGCAACGAGCGAGACCCACGCCCACAGUUGCCAGCGUACUCUCUGGAGUGACGGGUACACUGUGGGACCGCCGCUGCUAAAGCGGAGGAAGGAAUGGGCAACGGUAGGUCAGUAUGCCCCGAAUAUCCCGGGCUACACGCGAGCUACAAUGGUUGGUACAAUGGGUAUCUACCCCGAAAGGGGACGGGAAUCUCCUAAAACCAAUCUUAGUUCGGAUUGAGGGCUGCAACUCGCCCUCAUGAAGCUGGAAUCCGUAGUAAUCGCGUUUCAACAGAACGCGGUGAAUACGUCCCUGCUCCUU
rnacentral:rRNA from 1 species